UACGUAGGCAGCAAGCGUUGUUCGGAGUUACUGGGCGUAAAGGGUGCGUAGGCGGCUUUUUUAAGUUUGGUGUGAAAUCUCCCGGCUCAACUGGGAGGGUGCGCCGAAUACUGAGUGACUCGAGUGCGGGAGAGGAAAGUGGAAUUCCUGGUGUAGCGGUGAAAUGCGUAGAUAUCAGGAGGAACACCGGUGGUGUAGACGGCUUUCUGGACCGUAACUGACGCUGAAACACGAAAGCGUGGGUAGCAAACAGG
rnacentral:rRNA from 1 species